UACGGAGGAUGCAAGCGUUAUCCGGAAUGAUUGGGCGUAAAGCGUCCGCAGGUGGCUUUGUAAGUCUGCUGUUAAAGAGCGAGGCUCAACCUCAUAAGAGCAGUGGAAACUACAAGGCUAGAGUACGUUCGGGGCAGAGGGAAUUCCUGGUGUAGCGGUGAAAUGCGUAGAGAUCAGGAAGAACACCGGUGGCGAAAGCGCUCUGCUAGGCCGUAACUGACACUGAGGGACGAAAGCUAGGGGAGCGAAUGGG
rnacentral:rRNA from 1 species